AUCCGCUGAAAGCUGCAGGUUUUCUAGACAUCGUCAUGCUGUCCAAAACAUUAGUCGUUCUGGGCUGACCAGCUGGAGAACCUGAGGACUUGCCUGCACCGGAUACCUGCAAGUUUCUCUGGUGUUGCAGACAGGAGUCCAUGUGUUUCCCAAAGUCCGGUUCAGCAGACGCACAACACCCUCAGAGUCAACACAACAUGGCGUUCCUGCAAAAAACAGAAAUCAUUAAAGUAUGCUGAUUUAGUGCUUAAG
rnacentral:lncRNA from 1 species